UACAGAGACUGCAAGCGUUAUUCGGAUUCACUGGGCGUAAAGGGUGCGUAGGCGGCGCGGUAAGUCGGGGUGUGAAAUCUUGGAGCUUAACUCCGAAACUGCAUUCGAUACUGCCGUGCUUGAGGGCUGGAGAGGAGACUGGAAUUUACGGUGUAGCGGUGAAAAUGCGUAGAUAUCGUAAGGAAGACCAGUGGCGAAGGCGGGGUCUCUGGACAGUUCCUGACGCUGAGGCACGAAAGGCCCAGGGGGGAGCAAAACGGGGAUUUAGAAAACCC
rnacentral:rRNA from 1 species